rnacentral:lncRNA from 1 species
GGAACGCACAACAUGAUAUAAGAUGCACAGAUAUUGAAGUGAUUGACACAUGAUGAUAAAUAAAUAUUGAUCCACUUAAUCAUAUAUACUUAUAUGUGAGAUCGCUGGACAUUUUUAUUCAAUAUUACAAAGAAAGAUUCAAAUCUCACGAAAUCAUUAAAACAAUAUAGAUGUAUGCAUAGGGAAGUAACCAACUCAUAACACACAAAAUAAAAAAAUCAAAUGAGUCGAGAAUCUCAAAAAAAAAACAAUCUUCAUUAAUUUGGUGAAACCAUGUAGCCAUAGAAGCAGUGGCAAUCAUAUAUAUAUAUUUUAAAUAGUAAAAAUUUGUUCGCACAGAGCAUUUAUUAAGGCGAUUAAAAAAAUCACUAAUAUAACGAAACAAUAUUGUUUUUAAAGCCAUAAUUAAUUGUGUGAACAAUUAAAUUCAAAAGUUGAACAAUCAAAUAUUCAUUCGAAUAUUGUAUCAAUCGAAUCCAACAAUUUCAGAAAUAAAAGAACAUAAAUUUAUUAAAAUAUCGAAUAGUACCUCCAUGAAAAGACACGAUUCUUUUCUAGGGCAUACCUCCAAUCUUUCUACGAUCGAUCGGAGAACUAGAACUAUCGUGCUGAUAACGUGUUAUAAACUAGAGAGAAGCGAGA